AAAGCUGGAGUGGCCCUUGAUUUUCUUCAGAAAUGGCCAUUCUCCUAUUUGCACUGUUGAGAGCCAUCAGUUCCAGCACUUCUGACAGAAAAUUAUUGUAGAAGCAGAACCAAGCUAAGAAAGCUAAAUUCUAAUUCUGUAUCCACAGGAGAAGAUGCCCUCGUCUGUGGUGGGAUGGGGCAGGAAGAAAGCCUCUGGGAUUGGAAGAGUAGAGGGAUCAAAAAGUUACCUGGAACAGUCAACCAUCUCUAGCCACCUGCUCUGCAUCCUAGUUUCAUUUUAAAAAUAUAUGGUGGUAUUCUCUGAAAAGAGGCAGCUGUUGUCGGUGGCCCCCAGGAAUAACUCUGUAAAUUACAAAGGAGACUCCAUUUUAACAGGCCUAUGUGGUCCCUUUUGUCCUCCUUUUGUGCCAUUGCUUUAUCAGUAGUCACCAGUGGACUCAAGACAUGGCUGUUUUAAAGAAGUUCUCUCAGCAGCUGCUGAAGUAGACAGGUUGGUGUGGUUGGUGGUCGCCUUAGCAUACACAAUGGAGGCCUCCUUGUGUUCAAAUCCUCAAUUUCAUAAGGUGAAGUCAUGUGUCCUUUCAUUAGAGAGGAACCAUAUUAAGAAUUAUGUGAGUGAGUGGACCUUUUAGGUCUCUUCGAUUCCAGCUACUAAGCGAAUAACAAGUAUGUUUCCAGGUUGGAAGCACUAAGAAAGGAGAUGAGGAGGAAGGGACUUGGAAAAGGUAAAAUUGGAAACGAGGAAGAAAAGCAGAUGAAAGGCCCUGGUCACAGUUCCAGGCUAGGCUGAACUCUGCUCAGUUAGGAGAAGGACCUAGUUCACUCUCCUUCCCCCCACCCAUCACUCCCCCUCUUUCCCUCCUCUCUUCCCCCUCCCAUGCCCUACUUUCCUUCCCUCCCCCUCUCCUCCUUCUCUCCUAGAGCUGCAGCUCACUAAAUAUCUGGCUAUUACUGAGCUGGAGAUCCAGCUAGAGAUGACACUGCUUUCUGCUGGAGAAACCAGCAGAGGAUGGGCUAUCAAACCCUGCCAGUUCUGCUCUUUUAAUUUAUAGCUUUUCAUUCCAUGGUUUCCUUUCUAUACUCAAAGCCACUGCCUCACCAUCUCUUUACUGGUUUAUUAAAAUAGCUUCUUAAAUUCUAAGCUUUCUGCUAUCCAGAUGUAACCCUGCAACUUACCUGUGUGGGGUUAUUCAGUGGUUCUCCACUUCCUUUAGAAUAAAACUAGGCUCUUGAAUGUGGCCUGCAAGGAUCUUCCUGAUCUGGCCUCUACCUGUCUCUUCAUUCCUUCCCAGUUAUGUGACUAGAUCUUUAUGUUUUAGCUCUAGUUUUACCUCCUCCAAGCAGAGUUCCCUGAUCCCCAGGCAUGGUUGUGUUCUUGCCUGUGUAGAUUUUUGUAUAUAAUGUUGCUUUAAUUACAGAGUGUCUUCAUUGGUUGCUUGCUUUGCUCUCUCUGCACCAGAUUGCCAGUUACUUGAGAUCAGCUUUACUCAUUUUGUCCCCCACCUUUUGGUUUGUUCAGCCACCACAUUUAACUGUGGAGUGACUUACCUUCUUGUCUGUCUGGCACACAUCAUUUAAUUUCUCCUACCCGAGCCUUCCUUUUCAAUUUAAUUCAUUUUAGUUCAUGCCAUUUACCAGAUAGUGUGGCAGUUUCUGGGAACAGGAACGUAAGGAAGAUAUGGUUGCUGUUUGGGGGGUCUCACAGUUUCAUGGGGAGACUGCUGGGGACAGAAAUUCUUCAUUACAGUCUGUAGAGCCUGCAGACCCUUGGGAGAAUCCUCAGGCCUUUCCACCAAGUCUUCAACAGGAACAGCCCUGCUUGUCUCUUAUUGUUGGGAUUUUUGUA
rnacentral:lncRNA from 1 species